GUGCUCACUUCUGCAGCACAUUUACUAAAACUGGAAUGAAACAGAGAAGAUUAGCAUGCCCCUGCACAAGGGUGGCAUGUAAAUUCAUGAAGCAUUCCAUAUUUUU